UGCACAGCAUUAACGCGUUAGC
rnacentral:miRNA from 1 species